GUGGAGGCAGGGUUUGAGCUUCAGUUAAGGAGUUUAUGGUGACAGCUGCAUAUCCUGCUUUUGCUGGUGAGGAAUGAGUGGCCUAAUAUGAGCUUCUAUCUAUGAACCAGGUGUUGUAGGAGGGAAAGGGUGUCUUGGUGACAGGACUCUGAAGAAGGGCUGCAGAGGAGAUCGUCUGUAUAUUAUAAUAGCAGGAAAUGGUGCGUUGAAAGGAGAGGAGGUGGUGGACAGGGGCUUGGCUGAAAUAAGGACGGCUAUCUUGAAAGCCUUGAGGCAGUACUGUCCAGGUAAGCUGCUGUGAUUGGUGGGUGUCUGGGUCUGUCCACGUGAAAGCAGAAAGGAGCUGUGAGUCAAGGUGCAGAGGGAUGGUAAAGAAAGCAUCUUUUUUUUUUUCUGGUACCGGAAAUUGAACUCAGGACCUUAUGCUUGCCAGGCAGGUGCAGCACCACUGAGCUAAAUUCCCAGCCCAAGAAAGCAUCUUUUAGGUCAAGGACCGAGUAAUGGGCGGUGGUUGAAGGAACAGAGGAGAGAAGUGUAUAUGGGUUUGGGAGUAGAGGAUGAAUGGGGAGGAGAAUUUGGUUAUGGCUCAGAGAUCUUGUACUAAGUGGUAGGAUUGAUGGGACUUACGGACAGCAAGGAUGGAGGUGUUGAAUGGGGAGUUAGUGGGAAUCAGGAGGUUAUGUUUGAGAAGGUGAGUAAUGAUGGAUUUUAGUCCUUGGAGGGCUGGAUCAGGUAGGGGUAUCGACGCUGGGCAGGGUAAGGGCAGGUGAUGUUGAGCAACAGAGCAGGUUGAGCUGUCCCAAACGUGCAGGCUGAGGGAGGGAGAAGAUAUGGGGUGGGAGGAAGAAGGUACAGCGGUAGGAGUGA
rnacentral:lncRNA from 1 species